GUACAAUUUAUUAUAAAUAUUAUACGAUGAAGUACCAAAGUUCAAAGUGGCAUAUGAUCAGAUAUUCAGAUUCCCUUUGCAGGUUAAACUCUAUACCAGCAAAAAAAAUGUUUUACAGUAUAUCUCCAAGAUUCUCCAUUUAAGAUAUUAUAAUUUCAGUGAUGAUGCCUUAUUUCAGGAUAAUUGGUGUUGUUUUUGCUGCAGCUCAGGCCGGAUUUUGGAUUGCAAGGCUAAGCAGGUCAUCUAAAUUGUGACACAACGGCAGAAGCUGAAAAGAAGAAAUAUAUAAACCACAUUGAGGAGUUAGUCCAAUGAAUGGGAUGGGAGCCCUUCAAAGUCACAUAUACAAGCGAUUUAUGUUCAAGCUUUAUACGAGCAGGCAAUUGAGUUAAUCGGAAAGGGGAUAGCCUAUGUGGAUCACCAGGAGUUCUUUCAAUUCUCCUAUGCUUGGGAUCUGUUUGAUUGAUGGACCUUAAAGCUCAUGCAAUAAUGCAUGAACUUGUCAAAAGGUUCAGCUGCUACCAACAUAAAUGUGGCUAUGUUGGAAGAUGAUACAGGAAAUGUUCAUGCCGCUCUAAGCCAUUUGCACGAAGCACUAUUAUUAGUAGUUACAGAAGCUGGCACUUACAUGGGUGCAUGUCGG